UCUGUCAGUCAACACGGCAGAAACCACAACCACCAUGACUCUCAUCACCAUCCUCAUCUGGACGCUGGCGUGCUGCUGUUUUACAGGAUGCAGCAGUCAGGUGUCUGUGACUCAGCCUCAAGUAAAGACAUCUACUCCAGGAUCCACUGUCACUCUCACCUGUAAAACCAACCAAGCUGUUUACAGCUCGGGUGGUUGUGAGCGUCUAAGCUGGUAUCAACAGAAAUCUGGACAGCCUCCAAAGCUCCUUAUUAAAUGUGUGAACACACGUGAAUCAGGAACACCAGCUCGGUUUAGUGGCAGUGGAAGCAGCUCUGACUUCACUUUGACCAUCAGUGGAGUUCAGACUGAAGAUGCAGCAGUUUAUCACUGUCAGAGUUACCACAGUGGUGGAGUGUUCACACAGUGAUGUGCAGUUGUACAAAAACCUCCCUCAGUCAGACUGCAGAGACACUGAGCUGUUACAGCAGGAACCGACUGCAGCUGCUGAAGAGGAAGAGACACAGACCACUGAACACAGAGCUGACAUUAACC